GAAGGAUCUGUCCAGACAUCUGUAUCAUAAGAUAUAAACUGUACAGGGAUCUUGACUAAAACAUUGACUACGCUCCGUAAAGACCACAGGCUGCCUCCCAGAGCAAACAACGCCACCGCUGGCAUGUACGCUCUCCGGCCAAACCAUCAGGAAGGAGUGGACGGACUCUCCCAGGGGCAGUAUUGAGGGGAACAGCUUGACUUCCCUUACCUCAACCCUACUGAAAUCCUGUGGAACCCAUGCAGUGUGAGUUUGGUCCCUCAUGCCUUCAUCACACCCUCCACCAGAGGAAGCCAGGAUAGAAAAAGGGCUUACACCCCUCAGGGAUACAUGCACCUCCUGUGGCUCGAAGGGUCCCAGCAAGAACACAAGAGGGGUAGCAGACGAGACGAGGCCGUUCGACCCAUCUAGCCCACUGAUGGGAAGCCGCAAGCAGGCUCUGUGUGUGCCGCCUGCAGCCUGCCUAUGACACCGCGAGCUCCUGUACUGGCUGACCCCGAGGGGCGUCACACUGAGCGGCCUUCUGCUCGGCGGUCCACCGUCUGGAGGCGUCACGAGCAGGCUGAGCACGGGCCUGCCCUGCGAGUCCUCCCACCUCUCUCUCGCAGCAGGAUCUGGACACUGAGGGAAACAUCUCGUUUGCAGGAAUUCAAAGUGAUUUUUGGGGUUAUUUGAAAAAUAACCAGCCCACCCUUCAGCACAGCCGGGGUCAGUGUUGACAUGACGCUGUCCACUUUGGAGCACUUUGA